UAUACAUGCAAGUCGAGCGACAGAGAAGGAGCUUGCUCCUUUGACGUUAGCGGCGGACGGGUGAGUAACACGUGGGCAACCUACCUUAUAGUUUGGGAUAACUCCGGGAAACCGGGGCUAAUACCGAAUAAUCUGUUCCACCUCAUGGUGGAACACUGAAAGACGGUUUCGGCUGUCGCUAUAGGAUGGGCCCGCGGCGCAUUAGCUAGUUGGUGAGGUAACGGCUCACCAAGGCGACGAUGCGUAGCCGACCUGAGAGGGUGAUCGGCCACACUGGGACUGAGACACGGCCCAGACUCCUACGGGAGGCAGCAGUAGGGAAUCUUCCACAAUGGGCGAAAGCCUGAUGGAGCAACGCCGCGUGAGUGAAGAAGGUUUUCGGAUCGUAAAACUCUGUUGUAAGGGAAGAACAAGUACAGUAGUAACUGGCUGUACCUUGACGGUACCUUAUUAGAAAGCCACGGCUAACUACGUGCCAGCAGCCGCGGUAAUACGUAGGUGGCAAGCGUUGUCCGGAAUUAUUGGGCGUAAAGCGCGCGCAGGCGGUCCUUUAAGUCUGAUGUGAAAGCCCACGGCUCAACCGUGGAGGGUCAUUGGAAACUGGGGGACUUGAGUGCAGAAGAGGAAAGUGGAAAUUCCAAGUGUAGCGGUGAGAUGCGUAGAGAUUUGGAGGAACACCAGUGGCGAGGCGACUUUCUGGUCUGUAAC
rnacentral:rRNA from 1 species